GAUGAACGCUGGCGGCGCGCCUAACACAUGCAAGUCGAACGAUUAAAGCACCUUCGGGUGUGUAUAAAGUGGCGAACGGCUGAGUAACACGUGGGCAACCUGCCCCUUUCAUUGGGAUAGCCACGGGAAACCGUGGAUAAUACCGAAUACUUCGAGACUUCCGCAUGGAAGACUCGAGAAAGCUCCGGCGGAGAGGGAUGGGCCCGCGGCCUGUUAGCUUGUUGGUGGGGUAACGGCCUACCAAGGCAAUGAUGGGUAGCUGGGUUGAGAGACCGACCAGCCAGAUUGGGACUGAGACACGGCCCAGACUCCUACGGGAGGCAGCAGUGGGGAAUCUUGCACAAUGGGCGAAAGCCUGAUGCAGCGACGCCGCGUGCGGGGUGAAGGCCUUCGGGUUGUAAACCGCUUUCAGCAGGGACGAGGCGAAAGUGACGGUACCUGCAGAAGAAGCCCCGGCUAACUACGUG
rnacentral:rRNA from 1 species